UUAAUUCGAUUGUAAUUAGAAGGAAAGUGAAAGUGGUGAUAAGGAAAUUUCGACCAUAGUGCGCUCAUGAAUUCGUUCAAACUUAAAGAUAAUUCUAGAGAGAACGUUGGGGUCGAGUUCGUCGAAUAUCAGGUACCCGUCACUCAGCUAGUAGAAUUGCAAGACAAUUGCAAAGAUAAUUGAUUAAAUCAAAAACAAUCAAAACAUUUCUUAAAAGUGUGGGCGUGAAAGUUGGGCGCGUAUUGUGGCGUGUCCAAAGUAGUUUUAGUAUUUGUAUAUAAAUUGGCAACGCAAUUUAUAAGAUUAAAAACCAAAUAAAAAUUUCAAAAUUGGCGUGCAAGUUUUUGGGGCGUGGCUGAGUUCUGCAACAAACUUGCGCUGCGUAGGUGUCACUAAAAUCGGAGUGGUGAGAUUGUUAUUUAAGGUGUUAAUAACAAUCUCACAACUCCGUUUUUUUUUUAUUUUCAUUUUUGUAUUUUCCGUCCAGCUCCGCAUAAAAAAUUAGAACCGUGACUAAGCGUCUUAGUUGUAUUUAAUUGGCUAUUCGGAGCGUUUCUCAAAGUUUGUGAGCGUUAGAGGGGGCGUGUGGCAAAAAGUUUUUUUGGCAAUCGAUAGAAAUUUAUAAGACUAAUACAAAAAUUAAAAAAUAUCAAAACAAUUUUCAAUAGUGUGGGCGUGGCAGUUUUGGGCGGUUUUUGGGGGGUUAGAGUGCAACAUUAAUCGAACAACUUGCGCUGCGUCUAUGUCUCUGGAGUCUGCAUGCUGUUCCUGAGAUCUUGAUGUUGAUAUGGAUGGACAGACAUGGCCAGAUCGACUCGCCUAUUGAUCCUGAUCAAGAAUAAGGUCGGAAAGGCGGGUAUAAAUACAGUAAGGAAAAGUACAGGAAUCGCUUUUCCGACUCCAGUGUAAUUCAGUCCAGGGUUCUAGGUGCAUCCUCAUGGAAACUCCCUUGCCGAGUCGAGCAAGGCAUACUUACCUGGCGUAGAGGUUAACCGUGAUCACGAAGGCGGUUCCUCCGGAGUGAGGCUUGGCCAUUGCACCUCGGCUUAGUUGACCUCUGCGAUUAUUCCUAAUGUGAAUAACUCGUGCGUGUAAUUUUUGGUAGCCGGGAAUGGCGUUCGCGCCGUCCCGAAAUUUGCAAAUAAAUAUGUACGUACUGUUUCGGACGGAAUUGAAGCAUUUAAAGUUUUAAAAAUGUGGUAUCGAUUAUGUGUAUUUGUACCCGUUACAGGUAGAAGGAACUGUAAAAGCUAGAAAGUUAAGAUUACGCAUGCAGAUUUCAGACACAUACACGCAGACCAUGUUUUCACGCC